UACGUAGGGUGCGAGCGUUGUCCGGAAUUAUUGGGCGUAAAGCGCGCGCAGGCGGCUCUUUAAGUCUGGUGUUUAAUCCCGAGGCUCAACUUCGGGUCGCACUGGAAACUGGGGAGCUUGAGUGCAGAAGAGGAGAGUGGAAUUCCACGUGUAGCGGUGAAAUGCGUAGAUAUGUGGAGGAACACCAGUGGCGAAGGCGACUCUCUGGGCUGUAACUGACGCUGAGGCGCGAAAGCGUGGGGAGCAAACAGG
rnacentral:rRNA from 1 species